UUCCUAUUGUUCUGUUUUCCCGCCUUCUCAUCUGUGUCUUGUUUACCUUGUAAACUUGUACUGCUUUAUAUAAGCCUGUCUUGGUGUCUCAGUUGUUGUGUUCAUGCUAUAAGGUUGGACUUCUCUUGUGUUCAUGCCAUAAGUGCUUCUACUUCAUCCUGCAUAUGGGUCUGAUCUGCUGUAUGUGGGUGAUCAGGACUACUACACAGAACUGGGUUCGAUGUCCGCUUCCAGUGGCGUCCUAACAUUAAGCAUGACAUAGCCCCUGUGCACGAAGCAAAGCUCUCCAUGAAGACAUACACUACAGUAGUUUGAGAAGGUUGGAGUGGAAGAACUCGAGUGUCCUGCACUGAGCCCUGACUCUGACUCAACCCCACUGAACACCUUUGGGAUAAAUUGGAACAAUGACUGAACCCCAGACCUCCUCACUCUUACAUCAUCAGUGUCUGAUCUCACUAAUGCUCUUGUAGCUGGAUGAACACAAAUCCAUGCACUCACUCCACAGCUAUUUCUAGCAGAAAGAUUUCUCAGAAUGGAGCUUGUUUUGUCAGCAACGAUGGACGAAAUCUUGAAAAGGAUUUUCAAUGUUUCCAAAAAUAUAUUUAACACAUUUAGAUGAAUGUUUCCUGUGACAUCUGUAGCAAUGAUAUCAACUGUUCUCUUUACUGUGGAAUUCCUUAGAAAAAGUUUCUCCACAUUUUUUUUAUGAAUAGCAAAAAUGUAGUUUCAUAUAGGAGAACUUUUAACUGGAACUGGGUUUUCACUAUCCAGACAGAACAGACUAGAGGUUUUUUUUUUUUUAAUUUUUUUAGAAACAGAUUGCAGGGGCAUUUUCACAAAGAAUUUAAAUUUCCAUUAUUAUUGUACAUACCUCUCAGUAAAGUUACUAGCCACAAAAGAGCCUCUCUAUAUACUUUUAAGGGAGUUCACAAACACUCAGCAGAUGUGUCUGUCAUUGUCAACUCUUUGUCUGGCUUGUUUGCUUUCAUGCUAGCUCAACACGUUCUAGUUCACAGGUUCCAUUUCACAAAAAAAGACCUGACAUGCAGAUAAUCGCUUGAGCACAGAGCAACUGAAAGCAACAGGAGUUACAAGCAACCUGUCUAUUAUCAAGCCUCAGCAUAUAAUUAAGAGCCCAUCUGCUGCUGAAUACUGCCUCAUUACUGUAGUGUAGAUUCAUGGGUCUAAAAACACCUCACAGUUUUGGAAUUAUUCCUAUCUUUGGUCUUUGGGACGUCAUUUAUUCCAUUGUGUGUUAAAAGACUGGCCUACUUGGCAUCGUACAGUAGCAUGUUUAUUGCUGGCCACACUAUACGAGAGGAUGAUGAUGGCUGAAGAUUUGUGGUGAUAUGGCAUGAUUUUAUCAUCCUUUAGGUUCACAUAUUCAUCAUACGAUUUUGUUAUUAUCGUUUUGCAAUGCUAUUUAAUAAUAAAUGGUGCUAUGGGUGAGUUUUAUAGG